rnacentral:rRNA from 1 species
UUAUAAGAGACAGCAGCAGCCGCGGUAAUACGAAGGGUGCAAGCGUUAAUCGGAAUUACUGGGCGUAAAGCGUGCGCAGGCGGUUUGUUAAGUCUGCUGUGAAAUCCCCGGGCUCAACCUGGGAAUGGCAGUGGAUACUGGCUCGCUAGAGUGUGUCAGAGGAUGGUGGAAUUCCCGGUGUAGCGGUGAAAUGCGUAGAGAUCGGGAGGAACAUCAGUGGCGAAGGCGGCCAUCUGGGACAACACUGACGCUGAGGCACGAAAGCGUGGGGAGCAAACAGGAUUAGAUACCCGAGUAGUCCCUGUCUCUUAUAC